rnacentral:rRNA from 1 species
AAUGAACGUUGGCGGCGUGGAUUAGGCAUGCAAGUCGCGCGACAAGGAACCUUCGGGUUCUGGAGGAGCGGCAAACGGGGUAGUAAGGCAUCGGAACGUACCCUCUUGUUGGGAAUAGCCGCGGGAAACUGCGAGUAAUGCCCAAUAAUCCCUACGGGGCAAAGGUCCGCCGCAGGAGGAGCGGCCGAUGUGAUACCAGCUAGUUGGUGAGGUAAUGGCUCACCAAGGCUUAGACGUCUAGGGGGUGUGAGAGCAUGGCCCCCCACCACUGGGACGUGAGAUACUGCCCACGACACCUACGGGUGGCCGCAGUCGAGAAUCUUCGGCGAAUAGGGCGGCAAG